rnacentral:lncRNA from 1 species
UUCAGUACAUUUGCUGACAAAUUCCUGAAAACUCUGAGUGAUGAGUUAUUGAAUCAAUAUGACACUCUUAUCAAUGAACCGUCCAAUGACUGGGAUAUUUAUUACUGGAUGACUGGAGUUAAGGAAACACCUCAGAAAUAUGACAAUAAGGUGAUGGACAUGUUGAAAAAACAUGCGCAAAAUGAGGAGAUGGAGGUUAGAAUUCGACAGCCUGAUCUGAAGUUUUAGUUUCCUGGUUCUGAUAAAAAAUCUGUUGUCUGGGUACAAAUUAACCACAGGUUUUGUUUCGUACUGUAACUUGUACACAAUUUGUUAUGAAUGUGUUAGUUGGACCUUUCCAAAUGCUUGAAAAAAACAUGACUUUGGUAACUAUAUAAUGCGGCUGCAUUAUUACCACCGCUUUCCUACUAAUAGAACGUUUAAUCAAUAUACCCCGGUUCCUGUUGACGGCUACACGUGAUAUACACGUAUCCGUACCCGUAAAUGAAGUCCACCAUUGAUCAGGGAAAAAUUGACGAGCAUACGUGAGUGAUUCAGGUAAAAUGUUGAAGUAUUUUUACUUCAACGGCCCACAAAUAGUAAACAGAACACACCCGUACCCACUUGUCUUUUACGUCUGGUGAAACUUUAGGGUAGAAAUUACGAGUAAACAUGCUGACAUCAGUAAACAUUGGUAAACAAAAUGGCGACACUUGUACCCGUAAACCGGAACGGGAGUUUCUUAACUUGUCUAAUGUAUAAUUCUUUCCCCACCACGCAAAUUGGCUUCCUACUGUAAAUUUCCAACCUAGCAAAUAGACCUUUCCCCUUAUGAGUGAGAUCAAGAUCUAGAUACGCCUGGACAAAAAAUUCUUCACAGCUUGAAAGAGCAUCUCAAAAUUAGUAAUAUCCCGAAGUUUCGUUGCGAAAAGUUGUAAAAUGCGGAUAAUAUAGCCUUGCGAAGUUUGCCGUUUUUCAGUCAUUUUGUAUUACAAACGGGAAAUUGAUAAUCAGUUGAUCAAACUGAUUAUCAAUUUCCCAUUUGUAAUACAAAAUGACUGAAAAACGGCAAACUUCGCAAGGCUAUAUAUUAUCCGCAUUUUACAACAUUUCGCAACGAAACUUCGGAAAAUUACUAAUUUUGUGAUGCUCUUUCAAGCCGUGAUGGAAAUUUUUGUCCAGACUUGUCUAGAUCAAAAUUUCACUCAAAAGGGGAAAGAUCUAUUGGGCCAGACCUGCUAGCCGCGUGCAUAUUGAAACUGCCCCUAAACAGUUUUCAUCAGUGAGCAGAAACAAAAUGUCAGUGUAUUAAAAAAACAUACGUUAUUUUGUAUUAGUUUGUUGCAAUCUAGGGUUCGAACCACCUAUAGGAUGGCUAAUUAAGUUUGAGUUUACGGUAUUGUAUAACUCUAAGGUUUGAGUUAAAUAUUAAUGCGCGGGUUGGCUAAUAUAGUCUAUGACACAAUAAGGUCACUGCUAUUGCGGUGACGAACACGCAAAUACUGUAAGAAGCAUUAUACCUCGGUUAAUAUUGUAUUAUAUGAAACUCAGUCGUUGUGUAAUAUACCACUUUGUAGUUGAAAGUAAAUUUAACUGUGUUAAAUAUAAAUUGGCUGCAAAUUCGACACUAUACUCGUGCAGUAUCUUUUCUUUCUUAUCAAUUUGGGACUGACUCUAAAUUAGUAAUGUUUUCUUCUUAUGAAUAUUAAUAAACGCGUCGUUGAAUGCUAAGCAUAAAUUUAAACUACUACAGGACUUUGAUUACUUCCAGUAGUCGAUCCCUAUCACGGGCCGAUGUUCCAGGUAAUUUCUAAUACAAAAAGGUUUAAAAUGUACAAUUGGAUGAACAUUUUUUAAUAAACAG